rnacentral:rRNA from 1 species
UACGUAGGGGGCAAGCGUUGUUCGGAAUUACUGGGCGUAAAGGGCGCGUAGGUGGCCACAUAAGUCCGUUGUGAAAGUCAAAGGCUCAACCUUUGAAAGCCGAUGGAUACUGUGUGGCUAGAGUACGGAAGAGGCGAGUGGAAUUCCUGGUGUAGCGGUGGAAUGCGCAGAUAUCAGGAGGAACACCAAUAGCGAAGGCAGCUCGCUGGGACGUUACUGACACUGAGGCGCGAAAGCGUGGGGAGCGAACAGG